AGGUCCAAAGCCCACGCCGCUGCUCCCCUCUCCAAACAAGGAAACAAGCAAAGCUAAACGGCGGCGACACCACGAGCCAACGGCGGCGAGCUCCACGGUUACCAAUACCAUCCCGCCGCCCCGCGCCGCCCCUCCGCUCCGCAUUCCCGUUCCGCGCCCUCCCCGAUCGAAUCCGACGGCCUUCCCGGCUCCCCACUCCUCCCAAGCCAAAACCGUGGGCGUUCUCCUUCUCUCGCCAAUCCGUAACCCAGCCCUCCAAAACCCUAACCGCCGCUCCUCGAUCUGAUGCUGCGUCUCUGACCUCCCCGAUCCCCUCGCGUCGCCAUGGAAGACCCCGUGCCUAUCCCCUCCUCCUCCUCUGCCGCCGCCGCCGCCGCCGCCGUGGUCCCGUCCCCGCCCCCCGCGCCCGCCCCCGCGGUCGUGAGAGCGGCGGCGGCGGCUCCGGAAGCCGCCGCGGCGGCGUCCCGCAGGCAGUUGUUCUCCGUGGAGCUCCGGCCCGGGGAGACCACCAUCGUGUCCUGGAAGAAGCUGCAGAAGGAGGCUGUACAAGAGGCGGCCACUUUGCCGCCGCAGCCGCUGGCGGUGGUACCGGCGGAGCCUGCAGUCGCUGCGCAACUGCCCCCACCACCCGGUGUGGCACCCGCUGCAGAAAACAACCCGGAGGAUCCAGCGCAGCCAAAUCGGUUUAAUGCAGUCAUUGAGAAAAUCGAGCGCCUUUACAUGGGUAAACAUAGCAGCGAUGAAGAAGAUCUUGACGAUGUACCCGAUGAUGAUCAAUAUGACACUGAUGAUUCUUUUAUUGAUGAUGCUGAAUUGGAUGAGUAUUUUGAAGUCGAUAAUUUGAAGACUAAGCACAGUGGAUUUUUUGUUAACAAAGGGACAUUGGAACAGAUUGAAUCUGGUACAUCGACAGAUGUCGCGCCGAAGAAAAGGAGAAGCAAAGACCCAUCAGGUGAUCAUAUUGAAAUUAAUCAGGGUGCUGCAGGUGAUUAUUUUAACAUCAGCAACAUGCCUGGGAAAGCUACCAGUCCUGCACAUGCUGGGAAAAAAUUAGCUACCAGCGGAACCGGAGUCUCAAAAAAGAGAUCGACUGAUUUUGCCACAGGUGUUGAUGCUGCAAAACGUACAAAGAUAUCUGCAUACAGGGAUAAAGGUCCUUCAACACAACUUGACUUUCAACAAGAAAAGACUUAUAGUGGCGAAAAUCAAGAUCUGGCCAACAAAAUAUAUCACAAAGAGAAACAUGGAACAAGUGACUUUUCUGGCAUCACACUGCCUGGUACUUCUUGUCCUACACAAGCAAUGCACCCCAUCACUGGCAGAGAGAGUGCAGGUACCAAACCUAAAGGCACCAGGCUUGAGCGAGCCAUUCGGGAUUUCGAGAAGUUUGUUGCUCAAUAUAGGCCGCCAGCUAUCGAUAGUAACGAGGUUGACCCAAAUGGUCAGGCAUCAAUUAAACGACGGUUGCCUCCAGAAGUAAAGGCAAAGCUUGCCAAGGUUGCAAGACUAUCGACAAAUCAUGGAAAGAUACAAGAACAGGAGUUGAUGAAUCGCCUCAUGGGCAUAGUUGGACACCUUGUGCAGCGUAGGACAUUGAAGAGAAACAUGAAAGACCUGGUAGAAUCAGGACUCUCUGCUACACAAGAAAAGACUGAUAUGUUGCAGCGUGUUAAAAUGGAGAUCACUGAAAUGGUCAAAGAACGUGUUGUUGCCAAGGCCAAGGUCAAUGAACAACAGGAUGGUUCAGCUGACGAUUUUCAGGCUGUUCCUGAAGAAGGAAGAGAUUUAAAAGGAAAGUUUGCAAUGGAUAGUGCAUUGGAGGACAGGAUGUGUGAUCUUUAUGAUCUGUACGUUGAGGGUAUGGAGGAAGACAAGGGUCCUCAAAGUAGGAAACUAUAUGUAGAGCUUGCAGAGCUAUGGCCCCAAGGUUGGAUGGAUAAAUUUGGAAUCAAAGAUGCCAUAUCUAGAUCGAAGGAGCGAAAGAUAAAAUUACACAACCAACAGAAGGCAAGCAAGCAAAUUAUGCCAACUCAAUCGCAGGUGGACACUAAUAAUUUGUACUCUCUCUUCUCACAGUAGUCCCAGAAAUUAAUUGCACUCGACAUGGUACAUGGCUAUGCUGUCGCAUAACCGGCAUUUGCUUGUGGCACGGUGCUGACAAUAUACACAUACCGGAGAUGAGAUUUCUAUGCUAUGUUUCUUCUAGCAGCUGUGAUCGAGCAAUCAAGCUGUUUGGGUCUUGUGUCGACUUAAGUUUUGUCUUAGCACCAAUUUGAAUUAUAGCUUGCUCUAGAUGUUGAUGCUUGUGUAUUUUCUUAAGAAAACGUUUGUGUGAAUUAUGUUCCUAGACACAGUAAAUUAUGUUAUCGUAUGUGAACCUUUAAACUACUCCCCCCCAUUCCUAAAAACAGUUUAUGAUUUUUUGCAAAGAGCAAGGCAGCUGUGCACUUACCAGUUAUGGACCCUCUUGUCCCUGGUAAAUAAAUCUCACGUUGAGAAGUUAUUAACACUUCCACAAACACCAUUAUUCCUGUGCCGCGCUGUGCAUGCGCAAGCAUUAGCCAUUCUGAGCAAGCAUUGCCAAUCGGAGCAAAGUUAGCUCUACAUGGAUUGGCGCUGGCGAUUACUAUCUCCAUGCAUGCAUGUGGGUAUAAUGGUGAGACGAGGUGAGCGGUUCAGAAUGCAAUUAAGGCUGACGUAUCAUUAAAGGAGUGAGUGCGGCGUGGAGUGUUGUAUUUGGAAUAUUGGAGGGGGGAACAGGGGUGUGCUCUGUUUUAUGGUAUUUUUAGAGAAGUUUCCAUACUAAAGUGUAGUUUUCUUAAAUUUAAUAAUAUUAAUCUAAAUAUACCGAUUUGUGUUCCAAAAGUACCUUACUGGAUUCCCGGAGGUGAAGAAGCGACUUGAGUUGACUUAUACAAUGUUAUGUAUCGAGAAAGGACACUUUUUUUAGGUCAAGAGAUUCGUUGCGAGAUCACGAAUCAUGUUCCGGGUCUCAUGGUAUAUCUCAGUAUAGAAGAUGGAUGUUUUAUGGUAUUUUUAGAGAAGUUUCAGGUCUUGUUUUUAGGAAUGGAGGGAGUGGAGGGAGUACUAUUUUGGGAAUAGCGCACCCUCAAACUGGGUUCGCAGCGAGGAGACAUUGAAGAGGAAAAGGCUAGCAGUGGCAGAGAAACUGCCAGAUAGCUACCCUGUUGUAACGCAAAGAGCAAUGGCCCUGCAA